rnacentral:tRNA from 1 species
GGGGAUGUAGCUCAAUGAUAGAGUACAUGCUUAGCACAUGUGAGGGCCUGGGUUCAAUCCCCAGCACCA